rnacentral:lncRNA from 1 species
GACCAUUUGCUUCAUUCCCUACCUAACCUUAGGCAAAUCAAUCAACCCACGGAAACCAGUGAGAAGUUUGAUACAUCAUGAAUUAUUAUUCUCCGACCAGUUCUUGUCAGCACCUCCAUUGUAAGAGGACCUAAAAACAGGGAAAAAAAUAGGAAAAAUCAAAAUGAAGAAUUUAGAAGCUUAGAGCUUCCUUCUACCCUCAAAGAACAUAGACAAAUGUUGCUAUAAACUCUUUUCAUUUUUUCAAAAAAAAAAAAACUCUGUAGAAGAUCUGAUAAAGUCUUGGAGGACUGCUUGCCAAACGAUCCUAAGACCAAGACUAGAUUUAGAACACCAUAUUCCAUUUGAAGCUAAGCGUUUAACACAUUAACCAGCAUUACAUGAAUAAUUAUCUAGAAACUGAGUAUACGAAAAGAAACAAAAAAUGAAAAUGAUUUGAGCAAGUCUUACUCUUUGGAGAGGAUGAACCUGGAACGAAGUAGUAGCAGCUGAAGAGAAUCGAAGCCAUGACAGUGUCAGCGGUGGGAAUGAACAAGUGUGAGUUUAAACUCUAAGAGAGAGAGAGAACGAGAGUUAAGAGUGAGUUUAAGUAAAGUUAUGAUCUUUGGUGAGCCGCGUGCUUAUAGUUCUGCACAGAGCACGUUUAUCAAGAGAGUGAGAAAGAGACUUUUUGUUUUUUUUUUGGUCUCGACGUUUCGUGUUUCG